ACGGGAGGCAGCAGUGGGGGAUAUUGCACAAUGGGGGGAACCCUGAUGCAGCGACGCCGCGUGAGGGAAGACGGUCUUCGGAUUGUAAACCUCUGUCUUUAGGGACGAAAAAAUGACGGUACCUAAGGAGGAAGCCACGGCUAACUACGUGCCAGCAGCCGCGGUAAUACGUAGGUGGCAAGCGUUGUCCGGAAUUACUGGGUGGAAAGGGAGCGCAGGCGGGUAUGCAAGUUGGGAGUGAAAUACAUGGGCUCAACCCAUGAACUGCUCUCAAAACUGUGUAUCUUGAGUAGUGCAGAGGUAGGCGGAAUUCCCGGUGUAGCGGUGGAAUGCGUAGAUAUCGGGAGGAACACCAGUGGCGAAGGCGGCCUACUGGGCUUUAACUGACGCUGAGGCACGAAAGCAUGGGUAGCAAACAGGAUUAGAUACCCUGGUA
rnacentral:rRNA from 1 species